rnacentral:rRNA from 1 species
UGGGGAAUAUUGGACAAUGGGCGAAAGCCUGAUCCAGCCAUGCCGCGUGUGUGAAGAAGGCCUUAUGGUUGUAAAGCACUUUAAGCGAGGAGGAGGGUACUGGUAUUAAUACUACCAGGUACUGGACGUUACUCGCAGAAUAAGCACCGGCUAACUCUGUGCCAGCAGCCGCGGUAAUACAGAGGGUGCGAGCGUUAAUCGGGUUUACUGGGCGUAAAGCGUGCGUAGGCGGCUAAUUGAGUCGGAUGUGAAAUCCCCGAGCUUAACUUGGGAAUUGCAUUCGAUACUGGUUAGCUAGAGUGUGGGAGAGGAUGGUAGAAUUCCAGGUGUAGCGGUGAAAUGCGUAGAGAACUGGAGGAAUACCGAUGGCGAAGGCAGCCAUCUGGCCAAACACUGACGCUGAGGUACGAAAGCAUGGGGAGCAAACAGG